UAUUUCUUUAAUAAAAUCUUUAAUAAAUCCUAAAUAAUCCUAAAUCCUAAAAAAACUUAAAUCCUAACCAAUUCCUAAAUUCUAAACCAAAUCCUAAAUCCUUACCAAACUCUAGUCAAAUUAAUUUAAUCCUAAAGAAGUUUAGAACUUCAAUAUCUAUCAAUAAUACCAUUGAUCUUACUUAAGAUUCUACACAACUCUUAACAACUAAGUUGGCAACAAGCAUACAAAAUUUUAAGAAGAUUGAACAUACCAAAUAGAAGUUCAAUCCCAAAUUCAACUCAGGUAUUGGCCAGCUUCCUACUCCAAUCUGAAUGUUGAACUUCUAAUGCCAAUAUUUCCUUCUUGAACCAUUUAAUUGCUUUCAUAAUUCACCUAAACUAUUGGAAAUCAAGUCUAAUCUUCAUACAAAAAAAUUCACUUCAAUUCAAUGGAAAAAUUGCAAAAGAUCUUAAAAAUACUCACUCAUCUUUAAAUUCCAAUUUUUGAGAUCUCAACCCACAAAAACCUUUAUACACUUUGAUCU
rnacentral:lncRNA from 1 species